rnacentral:misc_RNA from 1 species
CCCAUCGAAGGAUACAGGUCACACUGCACAAAAUAAAGAACAGAGAAGGUCCGUGAUUAGUACAGCAUGAUCUUGCAUUUAAAAUUUUUUAACAUCACCAAUCUAAAAGAAAAAUACUGUCCAAUUAAUCAUAUGGAGCUUAUUCUGCACAAUACUAGAUAGUAUGGCUGGCCAUGACUACUUUAUGGUACUGUCAAGUUUGAAAAUAUUUAAUAAACAAAUCAAAUUUACUAUGUGGUGUGACUACAUGCCUAAACACAGCUACAAGCUCGACAAGAAAAUAAUUCCCUCAUAACAAAUUCCAUAGAUUUAUAAGCCAUUACUAUCAUACACUGCUUUCACACUCCAGAAACCAUAGAACAUCACAUAACUGUAUGAAAAAACACAACCCAUAUAGAUUUGUAAAAUUCAGAGAAUAAUAAUUGAUUUGAGGAAAGAAACCUUGUUAUGGUGAUCAAAGAAUAGUACCACACACAAGUUAGUUAUAAUUACAACAAUCCAUAAAAUCCAAAACGGAGUUAUGAUUUACCUGCGGAACCGUGAUCUGUUACUCAUGGUAUGGACUUCUAGGAUCAUUUUAAGUGGUUAUAGCACCUAUCUUUAAAAAGAAAUUAGGAUACAAUAUGGACUUCUAACAUGAAUUGGUAGAUUGUCGUAUUAUUUGUCCUAAGGGAUUUUUCAGGGUCUUCAUUCUUGUGCAGCUGGUUGUACAGUUACAAAGUAAAGAUAAACAAUAAUGACGAGGAUGAGAAGAACAACUAAAAUAAAAGAAAAAAUAAAGUACCAAAGAGCAUUACUAGGACCCUAAAGAGCAUUACUAGAACCCUAAAGAGCAUUACUAGAACCCUUUACGAGUAUCAUGUCAAAGAGAAGAGUUUGGCAGUCUUGCCACUAGAAAAAAUAGCAGACUCACAAAGGAACUUCAUUCCAAAUAAAUCUCUUUACAUUUGUGUACAACACUUGUUUGCGUAAUGAAAAAGAACAUUGUAAUCUAAUAAGGAAAAUUCCAAUCAAAUGAGGACAUACCAUCAAAUUCAGAAAGAAGAACAUCAAAAUAUAAGGUUGACUACACAUAUAAAUAAAACGCACAUUAAAUAUUAACAGAGACCCAAAUCUCAAAAUUACAAGAAAUAACUUGCAUAUGCAUUUUCUCUUUCACUUUUCUCCCUUUUUUUCAUGUCAAAAAUAAUAGACCUAUAGCCCAGCAACAAAACUAAAUUCCUAACAGAGAAACUCCUUUCCCAUGCAAACCCAUGCAAAGGUAUCAUAUUGGCUUUAUCAAUUAAUGAGAGUUGCCUCCACCAAAAAGGCUCACCCUUAAACAAAAUCUACUGCAGACAACUCAACAUAUCAGGUUUUUGUUAAGUUGACAAGUUAGAAACUCUGCAACUCUACCCCACCCCCAAAAGCGCAAAUCCCAUUAGGCUAUUUUUAUUCCCCUUUGGAAUUUUGGAUCCUUUCAACCAUAUUUAGCAUUAAGGAUUGCCACAAAUAUCUGUUUAUAGAUUUAAAAUUAGUGCCCAAGAAAAAGCUAAUACAGAUGGCAAGAAAUUGGCAUCAGCAACUUUUCCAAAUACAAUGACCAAUUAACAGAUACACACUGUAUCAAGUAUAAAUUUAACAUUAUGACAUAUAAUUAACCUACAAUCCUCAAGAGGACUUUGCUAUUGUUCAUAUGAUUCUUCCCUAAUCUUUGAUGUUAUUCCUCAAUUUGAUUUGACUUAAUCCAGUGCCUUCUAAGCUGCCUUUUAAAAGUCCAUACUCCCAGGGACCAUAAACUACUGCCUUCAAAGGAAACAUAUGUAGAGGUAAUGAAUGAAAUAAUGAAUGUGUGAGAGAUCAUUCCUUCAAGAAAAAAGAAAAAAAAAUGCUUUACCAGCACCCGAGUCUCAAAAAUUGAGAGUGCCUCAACAACCCAUUCUUGUCUAACAACCGUCUAAAGACUGAAUUUUAAUAAUCCAGAAAAUUAAAACCGUUGUGUGAUUUUUCAAUUUUGAAAGACCAUUUAAUUUUGGCAAUUGUAACCUGAUUUGAGAAAGUGGUUUCAGUUUUAGCCAAUAGAUCAAAAUUCAAAUACAAAUUAAUAUUAUAAUAUUAAUAGAUUAGAAAUAAAAAAUAAUGGUUUCCCCUUUCUUGUCUGUCCCCCACUGUUCCCUCUCUCUCUCUCUCCACUAUCCCUCACUCUUUUCCUCCUCUCUCCUGUCUUGAUCAUAAUGGUUGAACCAACUCUGAUGUGCAAAUGAAAGGAUGUCUUAGAAUGGCUAACACUGUUUGAUAUUGAUGAAAUUGCUAAGCAAGUUUUAUAUCUGCAAUAGAAAUGGAGCUGCAAAUAGUGGAAGGGUGAUAAGAUUGAGUCACUUUUAUUUCUGUGAACAAGUUCAACCUUACAACCUUCAACACGAUUACUUGUUGCAGUUUACAGCAGUUUAUAAUAAAAGUGGAACAAUAUAUGUUCUAAUCCCUAAUUCAUGCCCAAUCAUGAGAGUGAAGAAAAGUAUUUCAAUACUUCUAUCAGAAAGAUGAUGAAAUUGAAUUUGUAUGCAUGAUUAUGCUAUUUGUAGACCAGCAAACAUUAUUCAUGAAUUCAGAAAUUUUAACAUUUUGCGCCACAUCUACACUUAAAAGUGCUAAGUGCUAACAGCUUCUUCAAGCGGCAACCCACCCCAUGGGUUAGUUUUGUCUGACUCAAGGCAAAACUAAAGAUGGUUACUUCAAAGUAGAAGAAAAAUAUUGAUACUCAGAGCUAGGCAAGCAAUCAGGGAAGUUCAUAAGUUAAUAUGAAUCUGUUAUCAUUUUAUUUUAUCACUUGCCAGAAAGAGGCAUGUUAUGACCAUCAAGUGCUUUUCAGUUAGUUGGCAUUCCUGAUAAAGAGUAUAGAUUGGACAAGAGUAGAGUAAACUGAUAGUUCAUAGCACAUAUUCAUUAGAAAUGUCAAGCUAUAAGACUAAUCAAAUGAUUAGUUAUCAAAAGCCCCAAACAACCACACUGAAGACAACCAGCAAAAGAAGAAAAAUAAGAUUCAUGAUUCAUCAUGGAAUUAUGAUAGUUAAUUUUUCCCACAAACCACAUAGAAUACAGUUGAAUUCUUUGUGAUGUAAUACCAGUGUUGUUAAAGGUGCUUCAAGGCGCCAGGCGAGGCAACCCUCUGGCGCCUCACCCAGAUUGCAUGAGGCAAGCGCCCCAGAGAGAGGCAUCGGGCGAGAGGUGACAAAGGCGGCGCCUUUUUCAUGUAACA